GGGUGAUUAGCUCAGCGAUAGAGCGUCUCUUUUACACGGAGAGGGUCGGCGGUUUGAGUCCGUCAUCACCCA
rnacentral:tRNA from 2 species